GACGAACGCUGGCGGCGUGCUUAACACAUGCAAGUCGAACGAGAGCGUAGAGAAAGCUUGCUUUUUCUACAAUCUAGUGGCAAACGGGUGAGUAACGCGUAAACAACCUGCCCUACGGAUGGGGACAACAGCUGGAAACGGCUGCUAAUACCGAAUACGUUCCGAAAGUCGCAUGACUAUCGGAAGAAAGGAUGGCCUCUAUUUAUAAGCUAUCGCCGGAGGAGGGGUGUGCGUCUGAUUAGCUAGUUGGAGGGGUAACGGCCCACCAAGGCGACGAUCAGUAGCCGGUCUGAGAGGAUGAACGGCCACAUUGGAACUGAGACACGGUCCAGACUCCUACGGGAGGCAGCAGUGGGGAAUCUUCCGCAAUGGGCGAAAGCCUGACGGAGCAACGCCGCGUGAGUGAAGACGGCCUUCGGGUUGUAAAGCUCUGUUAUACGGGACGAAUAAUCUUGUGGUUAAUACCCAUGAGAAGUGACGGUACCGUAAGAGAAAGCCACGGCUAACUACGUG
rnacentral:rRNA from 1 species